GACGAACGCUGGCGGCGUGCCUAACACAUGCAAGUCGAGGGAGAAGGAGGUAGCAAUACUUCCGGAAACCGGCGCACGGGUGAGUAACACGUAGGUAACCUACCCUUGAGCGGGGAACAACAUCGAGAAAUCGGUGCUAAUACCGCAUAAUGCAACGAGACCGCAUGGUUUGUUGUUAAAGAUCCGCAAGGAUCACUUGAGGAUGGACCUGCGCCCGAUUAGCUAGUUGGCGGAGUAAAGCCCACCAAGGCAACGAUCGGUAGCCGACCUGAGAGGGUGAUCGGCCACACUGGAACUGAGA
rnacentral:rRNA from 1 species